GCCAGUGGCACAAUGGGUCAAUGCAUCUGGCUGCUGAUCAGAGGAUUGGUAGUUCAAACCCACCCAGGGAUG